rnacentral:miRNA from 12 species
AUCCUUACUAAGGGCACUUUUC